CACGUAGUUAGCCGGUGCUUAUUCUUACGGUACCGUCAUGGCUCCAGGGUAUUAACCCGAAGCUUUUCGUUCCGUACAAAAGCAGUUUACAACCCGAAGGCCUUCAUCCUGCACGCGGCAUUGCUGGAUCAGGCUUUCGCCCAUUGUUCAAAAUUCCCCACUGCUGCCUCCCGUAGGAGUCUGGACCGUGUCUCAGUUCCAGUGUGGCUGAUCGUCCUCUCAGACCAGCUACAGAUCGUCGGCUUGGUAAGCUUUUAUCCCACCAACUACCUAAUCUGCCAUCAGCCGCUCUAGUAGCACAAGGUCUUGCGAUCCCCUGCUUUCAUCCGUAGAUCUCAUGCGGUAUUAGCUACUCUUUCGAGUAGUUAUCCCCCGCUACUAGGCACGUUCCGAUGUAUUACUCACCCGUUCGCCACUCGUCAGCAUCCGAGACCUGUUACCGUUCGACUUGCUAUGUGUAAGGCAUCGCCGCAGCUUCAUCUGA
rnacentral:rRNA from 1 species